rnacentral:rRNA from 1 species
AUUGAACGCUAGCGGGAUGCUUUACACAUGCAAGUCGAACGGCAGCGCGGACUUCGGUCUGGCGGCGAGUGGCGAACGGGUGAGUAAUGUAUCGGAACGUGCCCAGUAGCGGGGGAUAACUACGCGAAAGCGUAGCUAAUACCGCAUACGCCCUACGGGGGAAAGCAGGGGAUCGUAAGACCUUGCACUAUUGGAGCGGCCGAUAUCGGAUUAGCUAGUUGGUGAGGUAACGGCUCACCAAGGCGACGAUCCGUAGCUGGUUUGAGAGGACGACCAGCCACACUGGGACUGAGACACGGCCCAGACUCCUACGGGAGGCAGCAGUGGGGAAUUUUGGACAAUGGGGGCAACCCUGAUCCAACCAUCCCGCGUGUGCGAUGAAGGCCUUCGGGUUGUAAAGCACUUUUGGCAGGAAAGAAACGUCGCGGGCUAAUACCCCGUGGAACUGACGGUACCUGCAGAAUAAGCACCGGCUAACUACGUG